UACGUAGGGGGCAAGCGUUGUCCGGAUUUACUGGGCGUAAAGAGCGUGUAGGCGGCUACGCAGGUCCGUUGUGAAAACUGGAGGCUCAACCUCCAGCUGUCGACGGAAACCGUGUGGCUAGAGUCCGGAAGAGGAGAGUGGAAUUCCUGGUGUAGCGGUGAAAUGCGUUGAGAUCGGAAGGAACGCCCGUGGCGAAAGCGAGGUCCUGGACGGCUACUGACGCUGAGACGCGAAAGCCAGGGGAGCGAACGGG
rnacentral:rRNA from 1 species